UUGUUCUAUCAUGCCUAGAGAGUGUAAAUUUGGAACGAAUCGAUGUCAACGUUCACAAGAACAAAAACCGGAACAACAUUAGACAACUCAGUUGCGCCCUAACAGUAUAACUUUGAAACGAGUACUUUUUCUCAUUCUAUCAAACAAAAGGUAAAACCUAAUUAUAUAGUUCAAUUAUGUCCCGAGAGUGUAAAUUUGGAAUGAAUCGAUGUCAACGUUCACAAGAACCAAAACCGGAACAAAAUUAGACAACUCAGUUGUGCCCGAACAGUAUAACUUUGAAACGAGUACUUUUUCUCAUUCUAUCGAACAAAGAGUAAAACCUAAUUAUUUUGUUCUAUUAUGCUCCGAGAGUGUAAAUUUGGAAUGAAUCGAUGUCAACGUUCACAAGAACCAAAACCAGAACAACAUUUGAAUACUCAGUUGCGCCCUAAUAGUAUAACUUUGCAACGAGUACUUUUUCUCAUUCUAUCGAACAAAGAGUAAACCUAAUUAUAUUCUUCUAUUAUGCCCAGAGAGUGUAAAUUUGGAACGAAUCUAUGUCAACGUUCACAAGAACCAAAACCGGAACAACAUUAGGCUAAUCAGUUAGGCCCCAACAGUAUAACUUUGAAACGAGUACUUUUUCUCAUUCUAUUGAACAAAGUGUAAAACCUAAUUAUAUUGUUCUAUCAUGCCCAGAGAGUGUAAAUUUGGAACGAAUCGAUGUCAACGUUCACAAAACAAAAACCGUAACAACAUUAGACUACUCAGUUGCGCCCUAGCAGUAUAACUUUGAAACGAGUACUUUUUCUAAUUCUAUCGAACAAAGAGUAAAACCUAAUUAUAUAGUUCCAUUAUGCUCCGAGAGUGUAAAUUUGGAAUGAAUCGAUGUCAACGUUCACAAGAACCAAAACCGGAACAACAUUACAAUACUUAGUUGCACCCUAAUAGUAUAACAUUGCAACGAGUACUUUU
rnacentral:lncRNA from 1 species